CGAGGGGGGCAAGCGUUGUUCGGAUUUAUUGGGCGUAAAGGGUGCGUAGGCGGUUUGGCAAGUCUUGUGUGAAAUCUUUGGGCUCAACCCAAAGCCUGCAUAAGAAACUGCCGGGCUUGAGUAUGGGAGAGGUGAGUGGAAUUUCCGGUGUAGCGGUGAAAUGCGUAGAUAUCGGAAGGAACACCUGUGGCGAAAGCGGCUCACUGGACCAUUACUGACGCUGAGGCACGAAAGCUAGGGGAGCAAACAGGAUUAGAUACCCUGGUAGUCCUAGCCCUAAACGAUGAUUGCUUGAUGUGGCAGGUACCCAAUCCUGCCGUGUCGAAGCUAACGCGAUAAGCAAUCCGCCUGGGGAGUACGGUCGCAAGGCUG
rnacentral:rRNA from 1 species